rnacentral:rRNA from 1 species
UACAGAGGUCCCGAGCGUUGUUCGGAUUCAUUGGGCGUAAAGGGUGCGUAGGCGGCGGGGUAAGUUUGAUGUGAAAUUCCGGGGCUCAACCCUGGAACUGCAUUGAAUACUACCUUGCUAGAGUACCGGAGAGGAAACUGGAAUUUACGGUGUAGCAGUGAAAUGCGUAGAGAUCGUAAGGAAGACCAGUGGCGAAGGCGAGUUUCUGGACGGUAACUGACGCUGAGGCACGAAGGCCAGGGGAGCAAACGGG